GCAAUGUCGAAGCAAAAAGUUCAUUUAAAGGAAGAUGCUAUAAUUGUGGCCACAAAGGCCACAAAAUGAAUGAAUGCAAGAAAAAGUUUAAUCGUAUGAGAAGAAGACGACGUUGCUACAUAUGCAAAAGAUUGGGCCAUGUUGCCAAGCAGUGUAGGGAAGGAAACCUACCAGUCAAA